GACGAACGCUGGCGGCGUGCUUAACACAUGCAAGUCGAACGGAAAGGCCCUGCUUGCAGGGUACUCGAGUGUCGAACGGGUGAGUAACACGUGGGUGAUCUGCCCUGCACUUCGGGAUAAGCCUGGGGAACUGGGUCUAAUACCGGAUAGGAGCCAUUUUUAUGGUGAGGGGUGGAUAGUUUUUUCGGGGUGGGGUGAGCUGGCGGCCUAUCAGCUUGUUGGUGGGGUAAGGGCCUACCAAGGCGGCGACGGGUAGCCGGCCUGAGAGGGUGGACAGCCACAUUGGGACUGAGAUACGGCCCAGACUCCUACGGGAGGAAGCAGUGGGGAAUAUUGCACAAUGGGCGCAAGCCUGAUGCAGCGACGCCGCGUGGGGGAUGACGGCCUUCGGGUUGUAAACUCCUUUCGCUAGGGACGAAGCUUUUUGUGACGGUACCUAGAUAAGAAGCACCGGCUAACUACGUG
rnacentral:rRNA from 1 species